CCCGGGGAAGAUGGAGCCAAAGGAUCGGCUGGAGCCAAGGGGGAAAAGGGCUCUCCUGGAGUCGGUGCACGGGGACCCCCGGGACAGGACGGACCUCCUGGCUUGAAGGGUGACACUGGAUUGCCAGGCCCACCGGGGCCGCCGGGCCUGGCAGGAGUCACCGGGACCCCGGGGCAGCC